GGUAACGUCACUGUGUUUCUUUUGAUGAACAACCGCUGUUUUCUUUUGUGUUAAGAGGCCGGCAGCCAAUAAAACUAUCAAAAUUAAGUCUUCCGACUAUGCCUGGGUUUUCUCCCACAUUAUUUUGAGUCCGGAAGGAGAACCCCGCGACACACAGUAACCUUCCAACGACAUAAGAUUGCCAGGAGGGAGGUCACACCGCAUCCUUCAGAUCUGCCAGAUGCUCGUCUGCUUUGUUAAUUCUGUGGGAGCUAGCUGGUGGAUUCUUUCUUUUCUCUUUCUUUGAUUUCAGUACAGCACAAAGGAAAGUUAGACGGCAAAAUCACAGGCCUCUCAGCUCCCUUGUUAGUCUUCAACUGAACAGAAGUUCUCAGCAUCACGACUGAUCAUUUUGAAUAACGGGAAAAAAACACACAUCAGCAACCUUCCAUGUUUACCUUUAGAAAUAUCACUGAAGUGGUCUAAAAGGUAUGUUUCCUGUUACGUGAAGUAAAGCAAUUCAAACAUAUCAAGGGCCUACAUUGUAGGAAAGCACUCUCUUGUAUACUCUGCUGACACAUCUUCAAAGCUGUCUACGUUUGGUCUGUCCUUCAGUGAAUUAUGCUCUCAGCUCUCAAUGAAAUGAUCAUAACACUGAACACUGAAUAAUGCUUAUUAGAAUCUAAUUAACUGAAAGCAGGAUGUCCCUCCCAAAUGAGCUCAAUCAGCAUGAGAUUAAUGUGUACAAAUCGUAUAUGGAGGGACAUACAAACAAAUCACACAAUUGAAAUCCCUUCUUUUGAAUUCUUUUCAUGUUU